GUCCAGGGAUGGGAAACGAACCCACAGUGUUCCGCUUACUGGGCAGAUGCCAUGUCCACUAGGCUACCCUGGA